ACAUGCAAGUCGAGCGGAACGAGUUAUCAGAACCCUUCGGGGAACGAUAACGGCGUCGAGCGGCGGACGGGUGAGUAAUGCCUAGGAAAUUGCCCUGAUGUGGGGGGAUAACCAUUGGAAACGAUGGCUAAUACCGCAUGAUGCCUACGGGCCAAAGAGGGGGACCUUCGGGCCUCUCGCGUCAGGAUAUGCCUAGGUGGGAUUAGCUAGUUGGUGAGGUAAGGGCUCACCAAGGCGACGAUCCCUAGCUGGUCUGAGAGGAUGAUCAGCCACACUGGAACUGAGACACGGUCCAGACUCCUACGGGAGGCAGCAGUGGGGAAUAUUGCACAAUGGGCGCAAGCCUGAUGCAGCCAUGCCGCGUGUGUGAAGAAGGCCUUCGGGUUGUAAAGCACUUUCAGUCGUGAGGAAGGUGGUGUAGUUAAUAGCUGCAUUAUUUGACGUUAGCGACAGAAGAAGCACCGGCUAACUCCGUGCCAGCAGCCGCGGUAAUACGGAGGGUGCGAGCGUUAAUCGGAAUUACUGGGCGUAAAGCGCAUGCAGGUGGUUUGUUAAGUCAGAUGUGAAAGCCCGGGGCUCAACCUCGGAAUAGCAUUUGAAACUGGCAGACUAGAGUACUGUAGAGGGGGGUAGAAUUUCAGGUGUAGCGGUGAAAUGCGUAGAGAUCUGAAGGAAUACCGGUGGCGAAGGCGGCCCCCUGGACAGAUACUGACACUCAGAUGCGAAAGCGUGGGGAGCAAACAGGAUUAGAUACCCUGGUAGUCCACGCCGUAAACGAUGUCUACUUGGAGGUUGUGGCCUUGAGCCGUGGCUUUCGGAGCUAACGCGUUAAGUAGACCGCCUGGGGAGUACGGUCGCAAGAUUAAAACUCAAAUGAAUUGACGGGGGCCCGCACAAGCGGUGGAGCAUGUGGUUUAAUUCGAUGCAACGCGAAGAACCUUACCUACUCUUGACAUCCAGAGAACUUUCCCAGAGAUGGAUUGGUGCCUUCGGGAACUCUGAGACAGGUGCUGCAUGGGCUGUCGUCAGCCUCGUGUUUGUGAAAUGGUUGGGGUUU
rnacentral:rRNA from 1 species